GGGGAGCAAGAUGAAGUCACAAUCCCAGGGCCUCAUAUCCCUGCUGCUUUUGGUAUCUGGUGCCUGUGCAGACAUCAUGAUGACUCAGUCUCCAUCCUCCCUGGCUGUGUCAGAGGGAGAGAAAGUCUCCAUCAGCUGCAGGUCCAGCCAGAGUCUUUUCGACAGUACAGACCAAAAGAACUACUUGGCCUGCUAUCAGCAAAAACCAGGGCAAUCCCCUAAGCUGCUGAUAUACUGGGCAUCCACUCAGGACACUGGAGUCCCUGAUCGCUUCACAGGCAGUGGAUCUGGGACAGAUUACACUCUCAGCAUCAGCAGUGUAAAGGCUGAAGACCUGGCAGUUUAUUACUGUCUGCAGACUUACAGUGAUCCUCCCACAGUGCUUCAGCCUCCAACACAAACCUUCUUGAAAGUCUCACAAGCUGCCUGCAGCACACACAGCCCUGGCCCCACACACUUCCCCCUUCUGCAUGACAGCAGGUGUGCCUGUAAACAUGAUGAAGAAGUACAGCCCCUUACAAAAUUAUGGAUCCAAUCAUACUGA